rnacentral:lncRNA from 1 species
CUUCCCUGGCCUCUUCUGCUUGAAUGAAUCGCUGGAAGCAAAGAGGGGACGUUCCGUACAAUGCAGAAUGACCGCCAACUGUAAGAAAAUGGCGGUAAUCACGAAAUUUUUACUUUGCUUUCUUUAUAUUAUCGGCUUGUCGGGUAGCUAAAUGAAAAUGGGGGAAACAUCGAAACGGAGAACAAAGCUUCAGACACUGUCAAGUUCUGCUGUGUCUUCUUUCCCACAUGUCACUGUUUAAGGCGAAAUGCCCGACCGGAAAUAUAAAUGGGAAGCGCGUGGCGCAGAGUGCUGUCCUAUCAGAAAGGUAAACAAUUGUCUCAUCGGCGAUACUUGCAGAGUCGUCUUCUUUAUCUUUAAUCUCCCUCCCAAAUGGACAACGUUCCUUUAACUCCGCCGUCUAUCCAGCGGCCGGCGAAAUUUUUAACUUUUUCUUUUUCUUUUUCUUUUUCUUUAGAGGUGUAGGUUCGGCGCUCUUUCCAGAGGAGAGAAGGGAUUUUAUGUUGAUAUUUCAAAUCAAAUAUGCUUACCGAACCAAAACGUGGGAGGAUCACCGAUGAUAAAAAUAGGACGUGCAAUUUUG